CACCUGGACUCAUCACGACUCAGGCCUUUUUGUGCGUGCGUGUGUGUGUGUGUGUGUGUGUGUGCGGGAGAACGGAGGUAGGCUGCGUGUGUGCGCGACAGAGAUAGCGUUGGCCUUCGCUAUGAAUACCAAAUGUCUCACUAUUACAAGGAGCGUAGAUCGGAAAGGGGAUGAUUACGCAGGAGUCGUGAAAGGAUCCACGUGGAGGGGGGGUAUCGUGUACAAAACAAAGUCUUGCGGACUGUGUUGCUUGAAUUGAUCUGAGGCAUUCGAUCUGUAAUCUAAUGUGCCAGUAGUGUUGUGCUUAGAUUGUACAUCUCCAAGAAACAGUCACUUAGUCACUGUAUCUCAAACUCGUCCAAUUCACACUUUUUAGAGAAGCUGUACGUUGCUCGGCACAACUGCUGAAACGUACCACGCUGCUGUAUUGUCUGCCGCGUGGGUAAGGAGUGAUGUGUGCUUAAAGCAGUAAAGUGCCCUUCAAAAUGGCGCCGGAGAUCAAUAAGCUGAAGGCUUUGUCAUCAAGUGGUCGCCUCGUAACGGGCCGUUGUGUCAUGGAACCGAUUCCACGGACAUGUGGACGUGUUGGUAUUGUACAUUUUUUUCCCACCAAAAGAUCGGUGAACUUUUUCGGCUUCCCGGUCUGCUCCCCGUUUGUUGGCCCUGACCGAGUCCUUUGCCGCUCUUGAAAGCAGCACAAUCAUGGGUGGAAGUAGAGAGAACUGCAACAUCACCGUUGCAAUGCAAUAGGUCAUCAGUCAUAACUAACAGCCUUUCGCUGGUUGUUUGAGGAAAGCGUGCUUUUUACUUGUGUCGGCGGGUUUUGAACUCCUAUUUUUUGGUAAAUAGUAUCAUCUUUGUUUGGGUACUUUUAAGUUAUUGUGGACACUGCAAAGUGAGCGGAUUGUUAACACGGCUUCCCCUUCUCUCCGUCUCUUAGGAAAAAGCAUUCCUCUGUGUAACCACACUUAGGACCUUUAAAAAGAUUCAUUAAUAUCUGCACACCGGUCCACGUCCGCCUCCCCAUGCAGAACUCCGUGAAAUGAAUAAAGCACCACAGCCUCUAACAGGACCCCCCUCCAACCCCCACCCCGCCCCCUCCCCCGGCCUGUCACAG
ensembl:lncRNA